GGCAGCCCCCACAAGCACGUUGAAUUGUUUACCAGUCAGUUAAAAGUACAAUGAAUGUAAGGAAUAAACAGUUGUUGACUUGGUGUGUACUGACAAGGAUCAGACAUACGCACCGUUUUCGACAUGGUUACAGCAACCGCAAGGCACUUGUGAACACCACCACAGAAGAAAAUCAAUAUGAACGGUUGGCAUAUUGUGUUACACCAUACUACAGGAAACCCUAUGACACUCAACUCAAGAUAAAGGAAUCAAAUUUGAAAAAAUCUCUACAGAAAGUUAUCAAUAUUGUUCGUCAUACUCGAAAAGGACAGUACUCCCCAGCAGUUAAAAAAAUGGAUGAAGAAAAUGAUGGACAAAUGUGUGCUCUAGUUGGAGUUAAACCAGCGCCAGAAAUCUAUGGCUACCGUAACAAGGAUGAGAUGAGUAUUGGGCCAGAUGUGACCGGUGACAGGAGAGUUGUGGGCCUUUAUGUGGGCAAGGGAAGCAGUGGGAAGGUGGUGUGUGUCAGCCCCCAGCAUCUCGUCAUCAUGAAGAAAACACACGUUAAUAUCAUCAAUGCGUACCAGGACUUCCUUGACCAGUCGGCCUAUGUGAAAUACGGGAGGUCAGGCAUGAUAGGGUACUGGGACAGUGUGGUCAUCCGGUCAAGUCAGCAGCAAGACACCAUGGUGACAGUCAUGUUCAGGGCAAGACAGAAGUCAGCGGAUGAGUAUCAGGAGGCAAGAGAUGAACUCCGCCACUUCUUCCAACAAGGUCAAGGUCGUCAGCUGGGGGUCACAUCACUCUUCUUCAGACCAAGUUUCCAUAGUUACUGGAGCUACAGCACAGCACAUCACGUGAUGGGGUCACCGCACAUCUUUGAGGAGGUUCUGUCUCACAAGUUCCGCAUCUCCCCCGACUCCUUCUUCCAGACGAAUACGCCGGCCGCGGUGGUGCUGUACUCCACCGUAAGGGACUACGUGAAGCAAUCAGGCGCUGCCACUGUCAUCGAUGUCUGCUGUGGGACAGGAACUAUUGGUAUCCUCAUGGCAGACCUUGUGCAGGAUAUUGUGGGCGUUGAGAUGGUGAAACAGGCCAUUGAAGACGCAGUGUUUAAUGCGGAAAAUAAUGGUGUGAUGAAUGCUGAGUUUGUGUGCGGCAAGGCCCAUCGCUUCCUCCGGGAUGAGCUGCCACAGAGGAAGAUGUCGGGAUCAGCAGUGGCUGUUGUCAACCCGGGGAGAAACGGCAUCAGUGAGUUGACGAUACAAGAAAGUAGUGAAUGCCAUAAGACAGUGUAAAGAGAUCCGUCACCUCAUCUACGUCUCCUGUAAACCAUCUGGGAAUGUUCUCGUCAACUUUGCAGACCUGAUUGUGCCUAGGAGUGACAAGCUGGAAGGGGAGCCAUUUGUUCCAGUAGAGGCGGUUGGUGUUGAUAUGUUCCCGCACACGACGCACUGUGAACUGGUUGUCAUGUUUAGCAGGUGACCUGACGGGU
rnacentral:misc_RNA from 1 species